AGAGUUUGAUCCUGGCUCAGGAUGAACGCUGGCGGCGUGCUUAACACAUGCAAGUCGAACGAACCUUCGGGUUAGUGGCGGACGGGUGAGUAACGCGUGGGAAUCUGCCCUCAGGAGGGGGAUAACGGCUGGAAACGGCCGCUAAUACCCCAUAUGCCGAGAGGUGAAAUGAAUUUCGCCUGAGGAUGAGCCCGCGUCUGAUUAGCUAGUUGGUGAGGUAAGAGCUCACCAAGGCAUCGAUCAGUAGCUGGUCUGAGAGGAUGAUCAGCCACACUGGGACUGAGACACGGCCCAGACUCCUACGGGAGGCAGCAGUGGGGAAUUUUCCGCAAUGGGCGAAAGCCUGACGGAGCAACGCCGCGUGAGGGAUGAAGGCCUCUGGGCUGUAAACCUCUUUUCUCAAGGAAGAAGAUCUGACGGUACUUGAGGAAUAAGCCACGGCUAAUUCCGUGCCAGCAGCCGCGGUAAUACGGGAGUGGCAAGCGUUAUCCGGAAUUAUUGGGCGUAAAGCGUCCGCAGGCGGCCUUUCAAGUCUGCUGUUAAAACGUGGAGCUUAACUCCAUCAUGGCAGUGGAAACUGUUGGGCUUGAGUGUGGUAGGGGCAGAGGGAAUUCCCGGUGUAGCGGUGAAAUGCGUAGAUAUCGGGAAGAACACCAGUGGCGAAAGCGCUCUGCUGGGCCAUAACUGACGCUCAUGGACGAAAGCCAGGGAGCGAAAGGAUUAGAUACCCCUGUAGUCCUGUCGUAAACGAUGACACUAGUGUCGGGGAUCGACCCCCUCGUGUCGUAGCACGCGUAGUGUCGCUGGGAGUACGCACGCAGUGUGAACUCAAGAUUGACGGGGCCGCACAGCGUGAGUAUGUGUUAAUCAUGCACGCGAGACUACUAGUUGAAUCUGCGAUCUCUGAACAAAAAUGCUCGGACCAGACAGAGUGCAUGCGCUCACUCAGUCUGAAGUUGUAGUCGACAGAACCAGCUAUGCAUCAUGGACUGAGACCGUACGAAGUA
rnacentral:rRNA from 1 species